AGGUUCCCAGGCCAGGGGUCCAGUCGGAGCUGUUGCUGCCAGCCUACACCAGAGCCACAGCAACACCAUCUUGUUCUUUUUUCUAUCAACAUUUGCAUUACUGAAAAUUAGCGCUCUCAUGUAUUCACAUUUAUAAAGCCCUUUGUAAGGUUUGUAAAGAAAAUCCUCUCUCUUUCCAUAACCCUCCCCCUAUAGGAAGUCACAUUCUCCCUGAAAGUUAUAUUCUGCCUGGUCCUUUGGGAGUUCCAAAUAGCCAUAAUAGCCAUCACGGUGAGCUCACACUGAAUUAUUUUUUCUGCCUCCAUUCCAUGCUAGACAGGAACUGAGUGAUUUUAUAGUUAAGGUGAAUGAAUAAAGUAAUUAAACAUUUUCAAAGUUUAUUUUCAUACCCCUUCUAUCAGGAGAAAUUCCAGGGAGAUAGUUUGGCUCUGUGGUAAGAGUGUGGGGAAAAGAGUGAGGCAUUCGAACAUUCCAAACACUGGAAGCAUCAAUAUAAAGUGGGCUGAAGUAAUAAUGAAGAGAUGGGACUGCGUUGCUCUCAGCUUUUUUGACCAAGAGUCUUGUCUUGAUGCCUCUUUUAAACUUAUGUCACAGAGAUCCUUCUCAAGGGGCUCUAGAGCCUCAUGCUAUGGAAUAUGAAACAGUCUCAAACCCUCUGCUUGUUUGGCACAUUGAGGUCCAUGAUGUGACAUCUAGAGGAGAUGUAUCUCUCUCAGUGCUCUCUGCUUAAGCUAACCUGGACCUGCUCUUACUGUCCCUCCCCUUGCAGGUGGGGAGCCUUCUUAAAUACCUGACCUCUGCCAGUGUCCAUGAUGUCAGACCCAGCUUUCGAUGUGUCUCAAACAACUGCCCUGCCCCAGGCCACAUAGAGUUCUUUGGGCUUCAAAUGUGUGGAAAUAGUUUAGUUCCAUCUAGAUGAAUCUCAGACCCCUAUUUUUGUUUUUCAAAACACUCUCCAUUCUGGUCUACUCUGAUGUUUGCAAAGUGACAUAGACAAGGAGCACUUUUUUAUUUUUUUUAAAUUGAAGUAUAGUUCAUUUACAGUAUUAUGUUAGUUUUAGGUAUACAACAUAGUUAUUCAACAUUUAUGUAGAUUAUACUCCAUUUGAAAUUGUUAUAUGUUGGCUGUAUUUCCUGUGAAGCACAUUAUAUCCCUAUAUCUAAUUUAUAUUAUUCCACAAAUAAGUGAAAACAUACACCACUUUCUUUGUAUGACUUGCUUCACUAAGCAUGAAAUCCUCCAGAUCCAUCAUGUUGUUGCAAAUGGGAAAAUAUCAUUUUUUAUGGUUGAGUAAUAUUCCAUUUUAUAUCUGUCUGUCUAUCUAUCUAUCUAUCUAUGUCACUUCUACUUUAUUAAUUCAACCAUUGAUGGACACUUAGGUUGCUUCCAAAUCUUGACAAUUGUAAAUAAUGCUGCUAUGAACAUUGGGGUGAACAUUUUUGAAUUAAUGUUUUCAUUUUAUUCAGAUAAUGGAAAUUCUAUUUUUAGCUUUUUGAGGAACCUCCAUACUAUUUUCUACAGUGGCUGCAACAAUUUACAUUCCCACCAACAUUAUACAAGUGUUCCCUUUUCUCUAUAUCCUAGCCAACAUUUGUUAUUUGUGGCUUUUUGAUGAUAGCCACUCUGGCAGAUAUGAGGUAAUAUCUCACUGUGCUUUCAAUUCUAUAUUCUCUGAUGACUAGUAUGUUGAAAAUACUUUCAUGUGCCUGAUAGCCAUCUGUAUGUCUUCCUGGGAAAAUGUUUACUCAGGGAUUCUGCCCAUUUUUUGAAUUGUUUUGUUUGUAUCUUUGAUAUAGGGUUAGAUGGGCAAUUUGUAUGUUUCAGAUAUUAACCCCUUAUUGGACAUAUCAUUUGCAAGUACUAUCUCCCAUUCAGUAGGCUGGUUGUCUUUUCAUUUUGUUGACAGUAUCCUUCUCUAUACAAAAGAUUUUAAGUUUAAUUAGACUUAAUUUGUUUGUUUUUGCUUUUGUUUUCCUUGCCUGAGAAGACAGAGCCUAAAAACUAUGGCUAAGACUUAUGCCAUAGAGUGUAUUGCCUAUGUUUUCUUCUAGGAGUUUUAUGGUUUCUGGUCUUACAUUUUCAGGUCCUUAAUCUAUUUUGAGUUAAUAUUUGUAUAUAAUGUGAAAAAAUGCUCCAAUUUCAUUGUUUUACAUGUAGCUGUCCAGUUUUCCCAACACCACUUGUUAAACAGUCUUUUCCUCAUUGUGUAUUUUUGCCUCUUUGUCAUAGAUUAAUUGACCAUAGAUGCAUGGAUUUAUUUCUGAGUUCUCUAUUCUGUUCCAUUAAUCUAUGUGUCUGUUUUUUUGUGCCAGUACUGUUUUGAUUACUAUAGCUUUGAGUAUAGCCUAAAGUCAGGGAGAAUGGUACCUCUACUUUGUUCAUUUUUUUCAAGAUUUCUUUGGCUGUUUGGGAAUCUUUUAUGGUUCCAUACGAAUUUUAGAAUUAUUUUUUAUACUUUUGUGGAAAAUGUCAUGAGCGUUUUCAUAGUAUCACACUAAAUUCUUAGAUUGCUUUGGAGAGUAUGGUCAUUUUAACAAUAUUAACUCUUCUAAUUUAUGAACAUAAGAUAACUUUCCAUUUCUUUGUAUCAUCUUCAAUGUCUUUCAUCAGCUUUUUCCACCUCCUUGGUUAACUUUAUUCUUUGGUAUUCUUUUUCUUUUUAGGGCCACAUCUGUGGCCUAUGGAAGUUCCUGGGCUAGAGGUUAAUUUGGAGCUCCAGUUGCUGACCUAUGCCAUAGCCACAGCAAUGCUGGAUCUGAACCACAUCUGUGACCUAUGUUGUAGUUUGUGGCAAUGCCAAAUCCUUAAUCCACUGAGAGAGGCAAAGGAUUGACCCCACAUCCUCAUAGACACUUUGUUCUUUUUUCAGCCCACUGAGCCACAACAGGAACUGUGGUAUUUUUUUCUUUUUAAUGUGGGAUUUUAAAUGGGAUUGUUUUCUUGCUUCCUUUUUCUGAUAGUUCAUUAUUAGUGUAUAUAAAAGCAAAAAGUUUAUUUUAUUUUAUAUAUAGAUACAUUCUUUUUUCUUGGGGGGUGCACCUACACCACAUGGAAAUUCCCAGGCUAGGGAUUGAAUUGGAGCUGCAGCUGCCAGCUUAAACAAUAGCAAUACCAGAUCUGAGCUAUGUCUGUGACCUAUGCCACAAUUCAUGGCAAUGCUGGAUCCUUAACCCAUUGAGUGAGGCCAGAGAUUGAACCUGCAUCCUCAUGGAUACUAGUUCGGUUCUUAACUUGCUAAGCUGCAGUGGGAACUCCAAAUACAUUCUUUUUUUAUAUUAUUUUCCAUCAUGGUCUAUCCCAGGAGAUUGGAUAUAGUUACCUGUGCUAUAGGACCUUGUUGUUUAUCCAUUCUAAAUGUAAUAGUUGAAAAGCAACAGAUUUGUCUGUAUUAAUCUUAUCUUCUGAAACUUUACUAAAUUCAUUUAUUAGCUCUAAUAGUAUUUUUUUUGGUCUUUUUUUAGGGCCACACCCAUGGCAUAUGGAGGCUCCCAGGCUAGGGGUCAAAUCAGAGCCUUAGCCACUGGCCUACACCACAGCCACAGCAACACCAGAUCAAAGCCGCAUCUGUGAUCUAAACCACAGUUCAUGACAGUGCAAGAUCCUUAACCCACUGAGCAAGUCCAGGGAUCAAACCUGAGUCCUCAUGGAUCCUAGUCAGAUUUGUUUCUGCUGAACCACAAUGGGAACUCCAGUAUUUUGAUACAGAUUUUAGAGUUUUCUAUAUAAAGUAUCAUGUCAUCUGCAAAUAGUAACAGUUAUAAUUCUACCUUUACAAUUUGUAUGUAUUUUAUUUCAUUUUCUUGUCUGAUUGCUACAUUAAAUAGAAAUGGUGGGAAUAGAAGUUCCUGCUGUGGUGCAGUGGGUUAAGAAUCCCAGGGCAGUGGGCCAGGUCACUAUGGAGGCAUGAGUUUGACCCCUGGCCUGGUGCAGUGGUUAAAGGAUCUGGUGUUAUCACAACUGCAGCAUGGGCCACAGCUGUGGCUCAGAUUCAAUCUUUGGCCUGGGAACUUCCAUAUGAUGUGGGUGUGGCCAUGAAAAAAAAUGGUGAGAGUAGGUGGAGAAGCUUUAGCUUUUCACUACUGAGUAUGAUGUUACCUGUGGGUUUGUCAUAAAUGGCCUUUUAUUAUGUGGAGAUAUGUUCCCUCUAUAACAGCUUUGUUGGGAGUUUUUAUCAUGAAUGGGUGUUGAAUUUUGU
rnacentral:lncRNA from 1 species